rnacentral:rRNA from 1 species
UUGAACUCGCUGUGAAGAUGCAGUGUACCCGCGGCAAGACGGAAAGACCCCGUGAACCUUUACUAUAGCUUGACACUGAACAUUGAGCCUUGAUGUGUAGGAUAGGUGGGAGGCUUUGAAGUGUGGACGCCAGUCUGCAUGGAGCCGACCUUGAAAUACCACCCUUUAAUGUUUGAUGUUCUAACGUUGACCCGUAAUCCGGGUUGCGGACAGUGUCUGGUGGGUAGUUUGACUGGGGCGGUCUCCUCCUAAAGAGUAACGGAGGAGCACGAAGGUUGGCUAAUCCUGGUCGGACAUCAGGAGGUUAGUGCAAUGGCAUAAGCCAGCUUGACUGCGAGCGUGACGGCGCGAGCAGGUGCGAAAGCAGGUCAUAGUGAUCCGGUGGUUCUGAAUGGAAGGGCCAUCGCUCAACGGAUAAAAGGUACUCCGGGGAUAACAGGCUGAUACCGCCCAAGAGUUCAUAUCGACGGCGGUGUUUGGCACCUCGAUGUCGGCUCAUCACAUCCUGGGGCUGAAGUAGGUCCCAAGGGUAUGGCUGUUCGCCAUUUAAAGUGGUACGCGAGCUGGGUUUAGAACGUCGUGAGACAGUUCGGUCCCUAUCUGCCGUGGGCGCUGGAGAACUGAGGGGGGCUGCUCCUAGUACGAGAGGACCGGAGUGGACGCAUCACUGGUGUUCGGGUUGUCAUGCCAAUGGCACUGCCCGGUAGCUAAAUGCGGAAGAGAUAAGUGCUGAAAGCAUCUAAGCACGAAACUUGCCCCGAGAUGAGUUCUCCCUGACUCCUUGAGAGUCCUGAAGGAACGUUGAAGACGACGACGUUGAUAGGCCGGGUGUGUAAGCGCAGCGAUGCGUUGAGCUAACCGGUACUAAUGAACCGUGAGGCUUAAC